GUGCUCACUUCAGUAGCACAUAUACUAAAAUUGAAAUGAUACCAAGAAGAUUAGUAUGGCACCAGUGCAAGAAGAACACACAAAUUCAUGAAGCAUUCCAUGAAGGG
ensembl:snRNA U6 U6 spliceosomal RNA